AUAACGCUUUUAACACAAGGUCUUGGUCUUAAACCUCUCAUUACCUAUACUCCAUACUUAUACAUGCAAGCCUCAACACAACAGUGAAACAGCCAACCACAACCAAAAACGAGCCGAUAUCAGGCCAACCGCCCAUGACAUCAAGCAACCAAAGCCACACCCCCACGGGCACGCAGCAGUAGCCAAUAUUGGGCCAUAAGCGCAAGCUUGACCCAGCAACGGAGUCUAAGGGCCGGUUAAUCUCGUGCCAGCGACCGCGGUUACACGAGAGGCCUAAGGCAAUCACAUCGGCGUAAAGCACGACUAAAAACACAAGUCACCUCAUUAGGGUUAAAGAAACCCUAGGCUGUAAAAAGCCAUAAGCCAUACUAAACAUAAGCCCUAAUACCAUAACAACUUCAACUCGUGAAAGUCAGGACACAAACUAAGAUUAGAUACCUUACUAUGCCCGACCCUAACAAAACAAUCAAACCACCAAUUGUUCGCCAAAUAACUACGAGUAAAAACUUAAAAUUUAAAAGACUUGACGGUACUUCACACCAACCUAGAGGAGCCUGUCCAAUAACCGAUGAUCCACGAUUAACCCAACCAGCUCUAGCCCAACAGUCUAUAUACCGCCGUCGCCAGCUUACCUUGUGAAAGAACCAAAGUAAGCCCAACAACCCCCACGCUAACACGACAGGUCGAGGUGUAACUAAUGAGGUGGUCCAGGAUGGGCUACAUUUUCUACCACAGAAAAAACGAACAGACUAUGAAAUUAGAAACUGAAGGCGGAUUUAGCAGUAAGCUGGAGAUAGAGACACCCAACCGAAAUUAACGCAAUGAAGUGCGCACACACCGCCCGUCAUCCCUGUAAAACACCACACCCCCCCCUCCAUAAAUACCAACACUACACUAAAGCAGGGCAAGUCGUAACACGGUAAGCGUACUGAAAGGCG
rnacentral:ncRNA from 1 species